rnacentral:rRNA from 1 species
ACACGACUACAUUAGAUACCCGUGUAGUCCCAGCCGUAAACGAUGCGCGUUAGGUGUACUGGUGACCACGAGUCACUGGGGUGCCGAAGGGAAACCGUGAAACGUGCCGCCUGGGAAGUACGGUCGCAAGGCUGAAACUUAAAGGAAUUGGCGGGGAGCACCACAACAGGUGGAGCCUGCGGUUUAAUUGGACUCAACGCCGGGAAGCUCACCGGAUAGGACAGCAGAAUGAUUGCCGGGCUGAAGACCCUGCAUGACUAGCUG